GAUGAAAUGGCCGAGCUUAAGCAGUAAAUUGUAAAUUUACUAACGAAAUACAACAUUUCUUUCAUCA
rnacentral:tRNA from 1 species